UACGUAGGGGGCAAGCGUUGUCCGGAAUCAUUGGGCGUAAAGCGCGUGUAGGCGGUUCGAUAAGUCUGCUGUGAAAGUCCAGGGCUCAACCCUGGGAUGCCGGUGGAUACUGUCGGACUAGAGUACGGGAAGAGGCGAGUGGAAUUCCCGGUGUAGCGGUGAAAUGCGCAGAUAUCAGGAGGAACACCGGUGGCGAAGGCGGGACUCUGGGCCGAUACUGACGCUGGAGGAGCGAAAGCGUGGGGAGCAAACAGG
rnacentral:rRNA from 1 species